AUUGAACGCUGGCGGCAGGCCUAACACAUGCAAGUCGAACGAGUGGCGGACGGGUGAGUAAUGUCUGGGAAAUUGCCCGAUGGAGGGGGAUAACUACUGGAAACGGUAGCUAAUACCGCAUACCAUUGGAGGUGCCCAGGUGGGAUUAGCUAGUAGGUGGGGUAACGGCUCACCUAGGCGAAGAUCCCUAGCUGGUCUGAGAGGCUGACCAGCCACACUGGAACUGAGACACGGUCCAGACUCCUACGGGAGGCAGCAGUGGGGAAUAUUGGACAAUGGGCGAAAGCCGGAUACAGCCAUGCCGCGUGUAUGAAGAGGGCCUUCGGGUUGUAAAGUACUUUCAGCGUGGAGGCGUUACUCGCAGAAGAAGCACCGGCUAACUCCGUGCCAGCAGCCGCGGUAAUUC
rnacentral:rRNA from 1 species